rnacentral:rRNA from 1 species
AACCGUGGUAAUUCUAGAGCUAAUACAUGCUAAAAACCCCGACUUCCGGAAGGGGUGUAUUUAUUAGAUAAAAAACCAAUGCCCUCCGGGGCUCCUUGGUGAUUCAUGAUAACUUAACGAAUCGCAUGGCCUUGCGCCGGCGAUGGUUCAUUCAAAUUUCUGCCCUAUCAACUUUCGAUGGUAGGAUAGUGGCCUACCAUGGUCUCAACGGGUAACGGGGAAUUAGGGUUCUAUUCCGGAGAGGGAGCCUGAGAAACGGCUACCACAUCCAAGGAAGGCAGCAGGCGCGCAAAUUACCCAAUCCCAAUACGGGGAGGUAGUGACAAUAAAUACUGGUACAGGGCUCUUUCGGGUCUUGUAAUUGGAAUGAGUACAAUCUAAAUCCCUUGCCUUUAACGGUAGUCGUUGGGGGAUUUCAAACCAGUCGUCAAUGUUGUAGGCGGCAACGUCCUGUCUCUUCGAGAACCUUGAGCUCAACAGCGCCUAUGAGGAACUUGAAGCCUAGCCAACGCUGGGUUCAGAGACUAUACACGGGCGGGUGGGUGACCACUAAUGACAUAGCCCAACCCUCCGCCGAUCUGGUCGAGGUAAUUGUGUAACGAGGAACAAUUGGAGGGCAAGUCUGGUGGAAUUUUUUGUUCCGCUGACGCCAGACUGAAAGGUGAAAAAAUGCUAUUUGAUACAUCUCACCUUGAGUAGAUUGGGCGCUCCGCCUAUCUGCAAGAUGAUCGGUACGGGGAAAGUCUUAGGCCCUCUGUGGUCGCUUAUCCCGUGGUUUAAGACGAGCUGGUGAAUCGGCUGGUCUUAUUCCAUAACGCACGCAAGGUCAUCGCCAUUUUACUCGUUACCGGGCAAUAAUGGUUCAGGUACGUGCUAAUCCCACCCGUAGAGGGAGUCGCGAUCUCUAACAGGGACGUGAUUUGGGGAGGAAGGUGUCAGGGCCGUCGCAGGGGCGGUCCUAGCGCCAACGUUGACCCGAGUAUGGAGGUCUUCUAUUCUUGUAGCUGUGGUGCCCUCUCCCAUGUCUGCUGUCCUGGUUGGGCCUCCCGUCGGGUGAAGAUGGUCUGCUACAAUAAUGGUGUUCCUCCACUUAAAAGAUGUCUUUCUCUUCAUCCCGUCUCAUCUUGUCGGCUUUCUAGUCAUUCUGUCCGCAGUCUUGCCUAAAAGAGCCAAAAUGAAACGUGCUGCUCCCGUUGAAGUUGAUCAAAAUGUCCCACGUCUAGCAAGUUCUCCAGCCAAGAAAGGAUAAAGUGUCUUAGAAUUUUCUAAAGUACGCUUAUCUGCAUCGGGAGAUUACAGGGAUGGUUGAUUAAACGAGAUGCUUCUGGAGGUAAUUAUGACGUUUUGGAAAUCAACGUUCCGGAAGCAAUGCUUCUCUAUCGCGUCACAACGCGCCUUGAGAAGGCUGCAAUGGUUCCUCUAUCAUGGCCAGCAGCCGCGGUAAUUCCAGCUCCAAUAGCGUAUAUUAAAGUUGUUGCAGUUAAAAAGCUCGUAGUUGAACUUUGGGUCUGGCUGAUCUGUCUUCCUAACCGUUGUACGGAUUCGGUCGGACCUUUCCUUCUGGGGAAACCUAUGUCCUUCAUUGGGUGUAGUGGGGAACCAGGACUUUUACCUUGAAAAAAUUAGAGUGUUCAAAGCAGGCCUUUGCUCGAAUACAUUAGCAUGGAAUAAUAGAAUAGGACAGUGGUUCUAUUUUGUUGGUUUCUAGGACCGCUGUAAUGAUUAAUAGGGAUAGUCGGGGGCGUCAGUAUUCAAUUGUCAGAGGUGAAAUUCUUGGAUUUAUUGAAGACUAACUAUUGCGAAAGCAUUCGCCAAGGAUGUUUUCAUUAAUCAGUGAACGAAAGUUAGGGGAUCGAAGACGAUCAGAUGGAAAUGCACCACUGCAGGAUUUUUGUUUGAAAGUGGGUUAAAUAGCUGCUUUGGCGAUCAUAUACUUGAAUUUUAUACAAUUAUGCAUUGGUUAUCACCCUGAUCGGGAUUACUUCCCCAAGGGUGUCCAACAAGCAAGUGGAAAUCAUUCUGGUAUAUCAUCUUCUGGGGCAAGCAUUUAUGAUCCAUCCUCUAAACGAAUCAUAAACAUGGGUGUCCGGUCGUCCACAGCUAAAAGCUAGUCCUUUGGGGCAACACUGUCUAGUUGAGGAGUUUCCUAAUUAGGGUUCUAAUCAGGGUCAUCCCCAGCCAAGUUCAACGUUAUAAUGUUGGAGGUUAUCCUACCGGUUCAGAAUCACCGUCGAUAGCGGGUGCCUUUCUAACAUAGGCAGAGGUGGUUUCUCUCCUGAACGAGUGCAUUUAAUGGCGAACGCAGUCUACAGACUGUUUGACGGUGGGCUAGCAAUAUGUAAAUAUUCUAGUUUAAGAUAUAGUCGGUCUAACAUGAAAUAUGUAUGGAGCACACGCAGAUACCGUCGUAGUCUUAACCAUAAACUAUGCCGACUAGGGAUCGGACGGUGUUUUUUUAUAUGACCCGU